GCCGGGAUAGCUCAGUUGGUAGAGCAGAGGACUG
rnacentral:tRNA from 15 species